rnacentral:rRNA from 1 species
GCAGGCCUAACACAUGCAAGUCGAGCGCUCACUUCGGUGGGAGCGGCGGACGGGUUAGUAACGCGUGGGAACAUACCCUUCUCUAAGGAAUAGCCACUGGAAACGGUGAGUAAUACCUUAUACGCCCUUCGGGGGAAAGAUUUAUCGGAGAUGGAUUGGCCCGCGUUAGAUUAGAUAGUUGGUGGGGUAAUGGCCUACCAAGUCUACGAUCUAUAGCUGGUUUUAGAGGAUGAUCAGCAACACUGGGACUGAGACACGGCCCAGACUCCUACGGGAGGCAGCAGUGGGGAAUCUUAGACAAUGGGCGAAAGCCUGAUCUAGCCAUGCCGCGUGAGUGACGAAGGCCUUAGGGUCGUAAAGCUCUUUCGCCAGGGAUGAUAAUGACAGUACCUGGUAAAGAAACCCCGGCUAACUCCGUGCCAGCAGCCGCGGUAAUACGGAGGGGGUUUG